rnacentral:rRNA from 1 species
GACGAACGCUGGCGGCGUGCUUAACACAUGCAAGUCGAACGGAAAGGCCCUGCUUUUGUGGGGUGCUCGAGUGGCGAACGGGUGAGUAACACGUGAGUAACCUGCCCUUGACUUUGGGAUAACUUCAGGAAACUGGGGCUAAUACCGGCUAGGAGCUCCUGCUGCAUGGGGGGGGUUGGAAAGUUUCGGCGGUGGGGGAUGGACUCGCGGCUUAUCAGCUUGUUGGUGGGGUAGUGGCUUACCCAGGCUUUGACGGGUAGCCGGCCUGAGAGGGUGACCGGCCACAUUGGGACUGAGAUACGGCCCAGACUCCUACGGGAGGCAGCAGUGGGGAAUAUUGCACAAUGGGCGGAAGCCUGAUGCAGCAACGCCGCGUGCGGGAUGACGGCCUUCGGGUGGUAAACCGCUUUCGCCUGUGACGAAGCGUGAGUGACGGUAAUGGGUAAAGAAGCACCGGCUAACUACGUG